rnacentral:rRNA from 1 species
UACGUAGGGUGCGAGCGUUAAUCGGAAUUACUGGGCGUAAAGCGUGCGCAGGCGGUGAUGUAAGACAGUUGUGAAAUCCCCGGGCUCAACCUCGAAACUGCACUUGAUACUGUGGUGCUUGAGUACUGGAGAGGAGAUUGGAAUUUACGGUGUAGCAGUGAAAUGCGUAGAUAUCGUAAGGAAGACCAGUGGCGAAGGCGAAUCUCUGGACAGUUACUGACACUGAGGCACGAAGGCCAGGGGAGCAAACGGG